ensembl:lncRNA
AUUUCUAAAAGGCAAGAAAUGAGUGCAACCCGUUCAGUGGUGCAGUCAGGACAGAGGCUGCUUGUCUGCAUGAGGGCUGCUGGUCCGUCAGGUUGAAGAUAGGAAGAUUAGCCCCAGUUCAGCCCUGCAUGAGCCCUUUCUCUGCCCCUUCUCUCUGACCUUCCAUGGAUGUGUUCUCUUCCUGAUGGUGUCUGAAAGCUGCCUAGGGCUGUGUGCUCCUGUGUGAGGCCAGGCUAAUAUGGCGAGCUGGAGGAAGAUAACUUUGAACCAGUAACACGUCCUUGUGCCCAUGAAGGCCAAUGGGUCUAAAUAUCUCCAACCUCUUCCCUCCGAACUGAAGAGAAGAUUGUCAGAAUUCACUGCAUGGACUACAAGCAAAAGUGCUCCCAACUGAAAAAUCCAACUGUUGUUCUCUUAGUUUGAAUGCAAAACCAGUAUUUUUCCAAAUGGCGAUACUAGAGGGAGUAGUCACACAGAUUUUAGAGACUCACAGUUGAGUACUUGAAGAUUUUGGUAUCUACUUUUAAAGAUGUCCUUUUUGACUGUAGAAAAUCACAGACUUUGAAUUUAAUAGUUAAAAUUUCCCAGGAGAGCUGGUCUCUGACCUCCAUGCCCCAGGGUGUUUGUUUGCUUACUAAGCACACCUGAAGUAUAUUUAUCUCACUUGCACAUAUUUUAGAGUACAGCAGUCACAGAAAAUAUAUAUAUUUAUGUUUUUCCUUACAUAAAUAAUUAUUUCUAAAAGAGUGCGGCAGCAUCAACUUGAACUGAUGGUAAUGAUACAUUUUGAAACAGACUUGGAUCUGUUGAAAUUUGCUCAUAUAUUCAAACUGCUGUCAUUGCAGGCCUGACAUAGUCUGUCCAAGAGCUCUUCCCUGGUCAUUCUUUAGAUUUGCAUUUUCUCUAUUCCCAAGAAAUCUUCAUGCAGGGAAAAGAUUCUGAGCUCCACUAAGUCAAAGAAGACAAUAUUCAAAUCCAGAAAGAUCCUUUGUUAGUAACUUGCCUAAGAUACAUACACCUAUUUUUUAAUCAUGGAAAACCUGGAAACCUAAAAUAGGCAUUUAGGCUUUGUAUCUAAAGCAUAAAUGAAAUUGCAUGCCUUAUGGUGGGAACGUACAAAAAGAGCAAGCUCCCAGAGUUGGCAAAAGUGGCCUGAGUUUAUCCUAAAUCCUUCCCAUGCCAAGAGAGGACAGUUUGCCGUGACUACCAGAGAAAUUGAUGCAAUCACUGCUUCAUCCUGGGAAGACUGCUCUAAGCAGGUAAGAGCAGGCUGUCCUUACCAUCUUGCUCCUUCUGAAAUCUGCAGCACUGAUUAUGUUUGUAUGGACCUGACUUGACAUUUUGUCUACUGGAUCAAUUCUGUUAGACAUCAAAGGUGAAGAAUCACUUAACCUGUGGAUCCUAGCAGGAUAUUAGCUGAGAUCUGGCAGAAAUCGCUAUUAUGUGUACAUAGUAAAGCAGAAUUUUUUGAGGACAUGCAGUUGACACAUUGGCACCAAUACAAGUGGACCUUGCAUGGAAUUUAGGCAGUAGUGAUAGUUUGGUACAAAAUUGUUUCCCUCAAGAAAAUUUGGUCACCUGGAUUCUGCAAGCAUAGCACUAAUGCUACCGGUUCAGAGUUAGAUUUCCAAAAUACCUAUCCCAAAAUCUCAUUUGCUUUCAGCUGUGAUUGGGCACAGAUUCAGGUUCUGGAAGUCUCUAACCCCAUUGAAUAUGGUUUGUAAGAACUUUUAUAAUAUAAUUAUAUUUAUUCAUGGUAAAAGAGCAUAUUUGGUGGAUAACAUUUUUUGCUAACAGAAAAUACAUGUAUCAGAAAGGUAUGAAACAUCUUUAAAACAUUCUUCUCAAGCAAUCAUUACUGUUUGAAACCCAAACAGUGAUUUUGUUGGAAUAAAACAGAUCUAUUUCUUAAAG